UAUUAGGUUGAUGCAAAAGUUAUUGCGGUUUUUGCCACUGAAAGCAAUGGCAAAAACCGCAAUAACUUUUGCACCAAUCUAAUA
rfam:Pan troglodytes isolate Yerkes chimp pedigree #C0471 (Clint) chromosome 1, whole genome shotgun sequence.